UACAGAGGUCUCAAGCGUUGUUCGGAUUCAUUGGUCGUAAAGGGUGCGUAGGCGGCGCGGUAAGUCGGGUGUGAAAUCUCGGAGCUUAACUCCGAAACUGCAUUCGAUACUGCCGUGCUUGAGGACUGGAGAGGAGACUGGAAUUUACGGUGUAGCGGUGAAAUGCGUAGAUAUCGUAAGGAAGACCAGUGGCGAAGGCGGGUCUCUGGACAGUUCCUGACGCUGAGGCACGAAGGUCAGGGGAGCAAACGGG
rnacentral:rRNA from 1 species